GUGACUCAAGCAUCUCUGCUUCUUAAGUACAUGAUCAAGCCACCAGCAGCAGCAGCAUCAUAAUAUUUGCUGUUGGGAUUAGGUCUGUUCGAAGUUUAAUUUUAGGGUAUGAUUUACCUAAUGUUAAUGAAAUGGUGACAUUCAGGUACUACAAAUUUAUGGCGGUGGUGUAUAUAUCUAUAAUGAAAUGAUUACGUGGUUAAUAUAAAAAUUCACAUCACAUGGAGGAUCCAUAUAUAUCACUCUCAAUAUAGAAUUUCACAUGGAUGAUAGCGGCAAAUUGAACAUGGGCUUAGGAGUAAUCAUACAGCAAUUGAACAUCAACGGCC
rnacentral:lncRNA from 1 species